rnacentral:rRNA from 1 species
UACGGGGGGGGCAAGCGUUGUUCGGACUUACUGGGCGUAAAGAGCUCGUAGGCGGUUUGUCGCGUCUGCUGUGAAAACUCGGGGCUUAACCCCGGGCCUGCAGUGGGUACGGGCAGACUAGAGUGCGGUAGGGGAGACUGGAAUUCCUGGUGUAGCGGUGAAAUGCGCAGAUAUCAGGAGGAACACCGGUGGCGAAGGCGGGUCUCUGGGCCGAUACUGACGCUGAGGAGCGAAAGCGUGGGGAGCGAACAGG